rnacentral:rRNA from 1 species
UACAGAGGUCCCAAGCGUUGUUCGGAUUCAUUGGGCGUAAAGGGUGUGUAGGUGGCGCCGUAAGUCGGGUGUGAAAUUCGGAGCUUAACCUCGAAACUGCAUUCGAUACUGCGGUGCUUGAGGACUGGAGAGGAGACUGGAAUUCAUGGUGUAGCAGUGAAAUGCGUAGAGAUCAUGAGGAAGACCAGUGGCGAAGGCGGGUCUCUGGACAGUUCCUGACACUGAGACACGAAGGCCAGGGGAGCAAACGGG